rnacentral:rRNA from 1 species
AAUGAACGCUGGCGGCAUGCCUAACACAUGCAAGUCGAACGAGACCUUCGGGUCUAGUGGCGCAUGCGUGCGUAACGCGUGGGAACCUGCCCUUAGGUUUGGAAUAACUCCCCGAAUGGGGUGCUAAUACCGGAUAAUGUCCUCGGACCAAAGGUUUGUCGCCUUUGGAUGGGCCUGCGUUGUAUUAGCUAGUUGGUAGGGUAAAAGCCUAUCAAGGCUACGAUCCAUAGCUGGUCUGAGAGGCUGAGCAGCGACACUGGGACUAGGACACGGCCCAGAAUCCUACGGGAGGCAGCAGUGGGGAAUAUUGGAAAAUGGGCGGAGGCCUGAUGCAGCAAUGCCGCGAGAGUGAUGAAGGCCUUAGGGUUGUAAAGCUCUUUUACCCGGGAUGAUAGUGACGGUACCGGGAGAAUAAGCUCCGGCUAACUCCGUG